rnacentral:rRNA from 1 species
UAGGGAAUCUUCGGCAAUGGGGGCAACCCUGACCGAGCAACGCCGCGUGAGUGAAGAAGGUUUUCGGAUCGUAAAGCUCUGUUGUAAGAGAAGAACGUGUGUGAGAGUGGAAAGUUCACACAGUGACGGUAACUUACCAGAAAGGGACGGCUAACUACGUGCCAGCAGCCGCGGUAAUACGUAGGUCCCGAGCGUUGUCCGGAUUUAUUGGGCGUAAAGCGAGCGCAGGCGGUUUCAUAAGUCUGAAGUUAAAGGCAGUGGCUUAACCAUUUUUCGCUUUGGAAACUGUUAACCUUGCGUGCAUAAGGGGAGAGUGGAAUUCCAUGUGUAGCGGUGAAAUGCGUAGAUAUAUGGAGGAACACCGGUGGCGAAAGCGGCUCUCUGGUCUGUAACUGACGCUGAGGCUCGAAAGCGUGGGGAGCAAACAGG